rnacentral:rRNA from 1 species
ACUGAUGAGUUGCGAACGGGUGAGUAACGCGUAGGUAACCUGCCUCAUAGCGGGGGAUAACUAUUGGAAACGAUAGCUAAUACCGCAUAAGAGUAAUUAACACAUGUUAGUUAUUUAAAAGGAGCAAUUGCUUCACUGUGAGAUGGACCUGCGUUGUAUUAGCUAGUUGGUGAGGUAAAGGCUCACCAAGGCGACGAUACAUAGCCGACCUGAGAGGGUGAUCGGCCACACUGGGACUGAGACACGGCCCAGACUCCUACGGGAGGCAGCAGUAGGGAAUCUUCGGCAAUGGACGGAAGUCUGACCGAGCAACGCCGCGUGAGUGAAGAAGGUUUUCGGAUCGUAAAGCUCUGUAGUU